rnacentral:rRNA from 1 species
UUCCAGACUCCUACGGGAGGCAGCAGUGGGGAAUAUUGCACAAUGGGGGAAACCCUGAUGCAGCGACGCCGCGUGAGUGAGGAAGUAUUUCGGUAUGUAAAGCUCUAUCAGCAGGGAAGAAAAUGACGGUACCUGACCAAGAAGCCCCGGCUAACUACGUGCCAGCAGCCGCGGUAAUACGUAGGGGGCAAGCGUUAUCCGGAUUUACUGGGUGUAAAGGGAGCGUAGGCGGCUGUGUAAGCCAGAAGUGAAAGCCCGAGGCUCAACCACGGGACUGCUUUUGGAACUACAUGGCUCGAUUGCAGGAGAGGCAAGUGGAAUUCCUAGUGUAGCGGUGAAAUGCGUAGAUAUUAGGAGGAACACCAGUGGCGAAGGCGGCUUGCUGGACUGUAAAUGACGCUGAGGCUCGAAAGCGUGGGGAGCAAACAGGAUUAGAUACCCCUGUAC